rnacentral:sRNA from 1 species
GCCGGGCGUGGUGGCUCAUGCCUGUAAUCCCAGCUACUCAGGAGGCUGAGGCAGGAGAAUCACUUGAACCCAGGAGGCAGAGGUUGCAGUGAGCUGAGAUGGCACCACUGCAUUCCAGCCUGGGCGACAGAGUGAGACCCCGUCUCCA